UACGAAGGGGGCUAGCGUUGUUCGGAAUUACUGGGCGUAAAGCGUGCGCAGGCGGCCAUCCAAGUCAGUGGUGAAAGCCCGGAGCUCAACUCCGGAAUUGCCAUUGAAACUGUUUGGCUCGAGUACGAGAGAGGUGAGUGGAAUUCCCAGUGUAGGGGUGAAAUUCGUAGAUAUUGGGAAGAACACCAGUGGCGAAGGCGGCUCACUGGCCCGGUACUGACGCUGAGGUGCGAAAGCGUGGGGAGCAAACAGG
rnacentral:rRNA from 1 species